rnacentral:lncRNA from 10 species
CUCAGGUGUCCCGUACAAGCCACAAGCCUCACUGUCACGUGAAGUAUUUAAAGCUGUAUAUAUCGCCACAGGAGAAUCUCUGGUCUUUGCAGCAACCACACAGAGAACAUCAAAUAGCAAAUGAAUAGCAUCAUAAGAAGUCAAGAGAAAGACCAUGGAAGAAAGAAGAAACUUUAACAGCGCUUUUUUCAUGAUCUUUGAACAAGGAGCUCUAAAUUAUCAUUUUGCACUGGCUCUGUCCCAGCUCAUGUUUGUUGAGUGAAUAAAUAAAUAAAUAAAUGCAUACAUACAUAUUUAUUAGUACAUGGAACACACUGAUUAUCUUCCAUUUCCUAACAACACUGUAUGUAAUCAGGAUUGCAGGCAUGUUAUGAAAUACUAGAAUAGCUGAAUAUUAAAAUUAUUCUGGAAUCAUGUAUGCUUAUUGUUGGGGUUAUUUGUGACGUCUCCAAAGUCAUCACAGUUUUCUCAGCAUCAAUGUCCUCAUCUCACCCCAGUCCUAGUUCUAGUCUUAGUGGAAUAGAUUGUAUCAGACUAAUCCUCUGACAGACAACAACGAUCAACUGUGGAUGAAAUUUUAAAACAACUAUUUAAAAAUGCCAGAGAGCAAACAAAAGCAGACAAGUUAGAGGGACUUCAACCCACGAAAUCAAUAAACGUACUGACUGAGACUCAUGCACACACACAUGACAGAGGGACAGAAGCUCUAUGAGAGGAGGACCCUUAUCCAUUUUGUUGAUGGCACAUAGUAUAUGUUCAAUAAAUUUUUGUUGUCAAAUGAAUGUUUUGUUUGGCCAACCUCACUUAUUGUUUUUUCAGUUUUACUGAGGGAUGAUUUAUGUAAAAUAAAAUUCACACUUUUUAAUUGUACCAUUUUAUGAGUUUCACAAAUGUAUACAGUUGUAUAUCUGCCACUAUGAUCAAGAUGUAGAGUAUUUCCAUCGCCAUAGAAAGUUCCUUUAUGCCCCUUUGCUGUUUAUCCCUUCCCCAGCCCCAGCACCUGGCAAUCGCUGACCUGAUUUCUAUAGCUUUGCCUUUUCCAGAAAGUUGAAUAAAUGGAAUCACACUAAAUGUAGCCUUUUGUGUCUUGCUUCUUUCUUUUCUUUUUUAAAAAUUAUUAUUUUUUGAGAUAGAGUCUCGCCGUGUCACCCAGGCUG